UGUUUUCCAUGAUGAUGCUGCAUCUCCAGCUCCUCCCUCUGAACUUUGUGUGAGCUGCGGGCUAGGCUGGACUUUGGUGUCUGCCUUUCAGAUGGUUGGCGCCAUAAGAGGGCCACGUGUGUGCAGGAAGAAGCAAAAGGCAGCUUAGUGAAUUGGAGACAACUGGAGGUGGUUUAUAAGGAUGGAGUGCAAAGGGGAGGCAUUAAUUUUGGACAUGCUGAGUUUGAGAUAGCUAUUAGAGAUCCAAAAGAAGAACUCAACCAAGCAGCUGGAUAUAUGAACGCAGAGUUCAGGAGAGAGCUCUAGGCUGGACAUGCACAUGUGUGAGUC